rnacentral:rRNA from 1 species
GACGAACGCUGGCGGCGUGCUUAACACAUGCAAGUCGAACGGAAAGGCCCUGCUUUUGUGGGGUGCUCGAGUGGCGAACGGGUGAGUAACACGUGAGUAACCUGCCCUUGACUUUGGGAUAACUUCAGGAAACUGGGGCUAAUACCGGAUAGGAGCUCCUGCUGCAUGGUGGGGGUUGGAAAGUUUCGGCGGUUGGGGAUGGACUCGCGGCUUAUCAGCUUGUUGGUGGGGUAGUGGCUUACCAAGGGUUUGACGGGUAGGCGGCCUGGGAGGGUGACCGGCCACAUUGGGACUGAGAUACGGCCCAGACUCCUACGGGAGGCAGCAGUGGGGAAUAUUGCACAAUGGGCGGAAGCCUGAUGCAGCAACGCCGCGUGCGGGAUGACGGCCUUCGGGUUGUAAACCGCUUUCGCCUGUGACGAAGCGUGAGUGACGGUAAUGGGUAAAGAAGCACCGGCUAACUACGUG